AUAGAAAAUAGGUUCGCCCAGGGCGAGGCUCAGCCAUUGCACUGCGGUUGUGCUGACCCCUGUGAAUUCCCCACAUGCGGGAAUCUCAACUGCAUAAUUUGUGGUAGUGGGGGACUGCGUUCGCGCUCUCCCCUC
rnacentral:snRNA from 1 species